GACAGAGGGUGCAAACGUUGUUCUGAAUUACUGGGCGUAAAGCGCGUGUAGGCGGCUGCGCAAGUCGGAUGUGAAAUCCCAUGGCUCAACCAUGGAAGUGCACCCGAAACUGCGUAGCUAGAGUCUCGGAGAGGAAGGCGGAAUGCUUGGUGUAGAGGUGAAAUUCGUAGAUAUUCGGAGGAACACCAGUGGCGAAGGCGGCUCACUGGUCCAUUACUGACGCUGAGGUGCGAAAGCGUGGGGAGCAAACAGG
rnacentral:rRNA from 1 species